UUCAUUAUAUAGAAUGAUCCAUACAUCCUGAACAGGAAGUCAGAUCUGAUUUCACUUUUGCUGAUUUCUCUAUUAGAGUGUUAUGGCAAUAGAAUAAAAAAAAAAACGAUCUACAUUUUUUUUGGUUAUCAUUAAUUUCUUAUACAAUAUGUAUAUAUAUCCUGAUUGUUUAAUUUGAUUCAUUGAAUGAUAACAGUAUUUGUUUCUCCUCUACAGAGUGUGUGGGCCUGCACGCUGUCACUAUAACCUCUGAGAUCUAAAAGCAGAUCAUGUCCUGGGAAAGGCCUGCUCCACUCUAAAGCCCUCCCAGUGGUCUCUGCUUGUACUGAAGCCAACUUCCUACUCUUUUGAGAUACCUUAUUUAGGACCCAGGGGGCUUUUGCUUGCCUCCCCAGUUGACCUUACCAUCACUUGAGGCUGCUGGUGAGUUCUUUUUCUGUUUCAGUUUCACAAUUUUGGUUGUGAUCAGUUUUCCUGUCAAUGAUGAAAAAUUUGAGGUUUCUUUUUUUAGGCCACCUGGAAGUUAAUGUUACAUCAGUAGCAGUUUUGGAUAAAAGAGAUAUUGCUUCCUGUCCAGAACACUGAAAGUUAUUUAUCAGUUGCUAUCUAAUAUCUAACUAGUGCCUUAAGUGAUAUUUAAACUGGCUAUUUCAUUGUUGCAGAGUUUCUCUACUUUAAGAGGAUUUAAAACAGGGAUGUGAGGGCGACAAAAGGUGUAGGCCCAUUUGCUGAGGCCUUCAGACAUCCUGGUUGCAGGAACAAGAUGUUUUAUCCUUCUAUACUGUUUUCCUGUCUGAACUCUCCAAAUAGAUAUAAAAUGUAACUGAAUAUUUAUUUUUAAAAGUCCAAAAAUGGAUCUAUGUUGUUGAAAUCUACAUCUAAACCCUUUUAUAAUUAUCAUUUGAUAUAAUGCCUAAACGUAUUCAUAUUGUUGGGUUUUUUUCUUCUGACUUUUGCAUAAAUUUAAAGAAUAUUUGCCUCUUGUAGUCUUUUCAAUGUGUAUUUGUAUGUGCAUAAUGUAAGAAUUAAAGUUAUGAAUCAAAUCA